UUUUAGAUAGUAUUAAAAGUACGUUUACCUUCCAAGUAAGAAGUCUCUCUUGUUGAGUCUGCCAU
rnacentral:tRNA from 1 species